rnacentral:lncRNA from 1 species
GAGAUCGACGACUCAAGAUUCGGAAAAUGAGGCAAAAUUGACGGAUAAAAAAAGUAUAAUUGUAUAAGAUCACCGAAUAUGAUGUGACCAGCUAUACAUAGUAGGCAUGGUAGAAGAAGAUGGCAAAGCAUUUCACUCAUAAACAUGUGAUUCUCUGAGAAUUGGACUUGAUACUAUAAGCAAAAUGUCUAUCGUAUUUGGUGUUGUACUGGCCUGACCAGUGAGUGUAACCAAGACGACUGGGUUUCGGUAAAGAUAAAACAAUCAGGAGCUGACUUUUAUUUCACUACCAAUCCAAAUGGUGAAAAACUGAAAAUACAAAUAUAAAUACGAUUUUACAAUGUGUUCAAUGAUAAUUAAAGUCCGUUAAAAAUACGGAUAAACAGUUCGUAGAUAUAUAAAGCUGUUAAAGUUCUUUAUAAUAAUAAAAAUAUGAAUAUUCUUGCACACGUCGGGUUCUGUCUUGAAUUAAAUCGUGCAAUCGCAGAUACGAACAGUUUAAACGGUAAAAGUUCAUAGUUUCUUUAUAACAUAGAGAAAUAUAUUAAAACAGUUCAUCGCUAAUGUAAAGACAUGAUUUGUAAUGCUUUAAAUGUAACUCACGCUGUGGUUAGCCACGAAUUGUUCUUUUGGACAACGUGUCCGAUGAAUGUUCCUUGUAGUUGUGCACACGACUCGCUGCGCAGUUUUACGUCACUCAGAAGAGAGGGGAAAGUAACACGGAUUCCUACACUGUCCUAUAUAAAACUCCUAAAACUGGCGCACAUAAAGCGAUGUACGCAAUGAAACGUUAACAAUAUAAAAAGAUGAUCAAAUGAAGAAUAAAUGAUGAAUGAGUUCUAGAACAGGUGUCUUUGUUCAUGUCCAACUGGCAGGUGUCAUUUGAUUUUGACCUCAUUUGCAUGGUUCAGUGGUUAAGUAAAGUUUUUGUGUUUUUGCUCAGGGAUAGUCAGAUGUUAAACUAUAUUUUCAAAGAUACAAUGUAGAUAGAAAACGUGAUAGUGCAUGGUUAUUUAAACAAUUUUUAUACGACCGCAAAAAUUGAAAAAAUUUUGGUCGUAUAUUAGUAUCACGUUGGCGUCGUCGUCG